CUGAUAGGGACUGUUGAAAGACACUCCUGCAGUUGUUUGAUUGUUUACAGGGGUGGGAUCCUACUGGUUAAACAACUGGUUCGCUGAGCGUGUGCAUGCAGUUUCCAUAAAAUUGAAUUUCUGCAUUGCAAACAAGGAAAGGAGCAAGGAAAACAGCUGAGGAGGGCCAAUUCAAUCUGCUGCCCCUGAUCAGCUGGGCUUCAGAAGCAGAAAUAAAGAACAAAAGACCUGCUGCUAUAUUGUGAAAAUGUUUUGGAAUGGAACCUUUGACAGUGGGGCAUAUGGAAAAAGAAAACAAAAUCAAAGCAAACAAAGACCUGGAAGAAGAAAUGACUGUGCAGUAGGACCAGAGAUGAGAACCUUUUUUUGACAAGUUGAUAAUGAAAAACCAGAUGGAAUUGAAAUUUAAAGACCCUGCUACUCCAAAGUUAGGGUGAAGGAUAACAUCACAAUAGCACUCAGUGAAACUCAACCAUGUGCACCGAAUAUUUUAAACUUUGUCUCUCCACUAAAAUAUUAAAAACAAUAGCAGUC